rnacentral:rRNA from 1 species
AUUGAACGCUGGCGGCAUGCUUUACACAUGCAAGUCGAACGGCAGCGCGGGCUUCGGCCUGGCGGCGAGUGGCGAACGGGUGAGAAAUGCAUCGGAACGUGCCCAGUAGUGGGGGAUAGCCCGGCGAAAGCCGGAUUAAUACCGCAUACGACCUGAGGGUGAAAGCGGGGGACCGAAAGGCCUCGCGCUAUUGGAGCGGCCGAUGUCGGGUUAGCUAGUUGGUGGGGUAAAGGCUUACCAAGGCGACGAUCCGUAGCUGGUCUGAGAGGACGACCAGCCACACUGGGACUGAGACACGGCCCAGACUCCUACGGGAGGCAGCAGUGGGGAAUUUUGGACAAUGGGGGCAACCCUGAUCCAGCCAUGCCGCGUGCGGGAAGAAGGCCUUCGGGUUGUAAACCGCUUUUGUUCGGGAAGAAAUCCUCUGGGCUAAUACCCCGGGGGGAUGACGGUACCGGAAGAAUAAGCACCGGCUAACUACGUG